CCCUUAGAUGUUCUGGGCCGCACGCGCGCUACACUGACGAUGGCAACGAGUUUUUCCUUCGCCGAAAGGUGUGGGUAAUCUUUUGAAACAUCGUCGUGCUGGGGAUAGAUCAUUGCAAUUUUUGAUCUUGAACGAGGAAUUCCUAGUAAGCGCGAGUCAUCAGCUCGCGUUGAUUACGUCCCUGCCCUUUGUACACACCACCCGUCGCUACUACCGAUUGAAUGGUUUAGUGAGGACUCCUGAUUGGCGCCGCCGCCCCGGCAACGGAGCAGCGGACUGCCGAAAAGUUGUUCAAACUUGAUCAUUUAGAGGAAGUAAAAGGCGUAACA
rnacentral:rRNA from 1 species